UCAGAAUAAAAAUAAUUCAAGGUCUGGCUCCCAGUUAUCCUAGCUUAGAAAACAAGACUCUGAGGGAGAAUCCACUGGGAGCAUCACUGGGAUCAACACUUGUGAAGAAAUAAAGAGGAGAGAAUUGGGCAGAGGUACCUCUGCUGCGCUGCCCAGACCACUGAUUCCUCGCUGUUCCUGAGUCAUGCGCUAAACUCUUCUGUCUUUGCUCGACCUGCUCAUGUUGCUUGAAAUGCAGUUGCCGCCGGACACCAGGCAAAAUCCUGCCUAUCCAGGUUUACUUCAAAGAGCCAAGCAUUCUGCCAGCUGCCUGCAUGCAGGACUCUGCGGUAACAGAUCUCCAGUACUCCUGCUUUCUUCCCUUAAGCUCUUCUGUCUUAGCAGUGGAAGGCUGUAGCUUUAUUCUGGAUCACUCGCAGCACUUAGCUGUUAGAACUGAAAAAUCUUAAGCAUAGCCUCUCUAAUUUGCCGCAUUCACUUUAUUCAUAUCAUUUGCCAAAAAAAGGGACUGUGGAGAAUUGGAUCAAAUGUUUACGAACUGAUUGCUUGGCCCUGGGGUGGUGUCUUUGGCAAUGGAUCCACUCCAAAUCAGUCAAAUUGUUGGCUUUGCACAACAAGGCCUCCGGAAAGAGGGCAAGAGAAAUAGAAGCAUUUCAUUACGGAUGUUUGGAGUUAAAUUUCAAAGCAAUGCUAUUUUAUAAAUGUGAUAUGAUUACAUGUUUAUCUGCACUCUUGAAAUACAGUCCAAAAGCCAUAAGUUUUUUAAAAAACAUGAGCACGUACACUGCAGAGAGAUGUUGCAUAAAGGCUCGUUUGACUGGUUUUACCCACUGACCGACACACGUGUGUAAAAGACAUCAA